rnacentral:rRNA from 1 species
UACAGGGGGGGCAAGCGUUGUUCGGAAUUACUGGGCGUAAAGGGCUCGUAGGUGGCCAACUAAGUCAGACGUGAAAUCCCUCAGCUUAACUGGGGAACUGCGUCUGAUACUGGAUGGCUUGAGUUUGGGAGAGGGAUGCGGAAUUCCAGGUGUAGCGGUGAAAUGCGUAGAUAUCUGGAGGAACACCGGUGGCGAAGGCGGCAUCCUGGUCCAACACUGACACUGAGGAGCGAAAGCCAGGGGAGCGAACGGG